UACGGGGGGAGCAAGCGUUGUUCGGAUUUACUGGGCGUAAAGCGCGCGUAGGCGGACCUGCAAGUCGGGGGUGAAAGCCCGAGGCUCAACCUCGGAACUGCCUUCGAUACUGCGGGUCUCGAGUCCGGGAGAGGUGAGUGGAAUUCCUAGUGUAGAGGUGAAAUUCGUAGAUAUUAGGAAGAACACCAGUGGCGAAGGCGGCUCACUGGCCCGGUACUGACGCUGAGGCGCGAAAAGCGUGGGG
rnacentral:rRNA from 1 species